AAUAUUGGACAAUGGGGGCAACCCUGAUCCAGCCAUGCCGCGUGUGUGAAGAAGGUCUNCGGAUUNUNAAGCACUUUCAGUUGGGNAGAAGGGCUUUAGGUUAAUACCCUUAAUUUUUGACGUUACCAACAGAAUAAGCCCCGGCUAACUCUGUGCCAGCAGCCGCGGUAAUACAGAGGGUGCAAGCGUUAAUCGGAAUUACUGGGCGUAAAGCGCGCGUAGGUGGUUCAGUAAGAUGGGUGUGAAAUCCCCGGGCUAAACCUGGGAACUGCUUUAAUAAAGGCUGAGAUAGAGUACGGUAGAGGGUAGUGGAAUUACCUGUGUAGCGGUGAAAUGCGUAGAUAUAGGAAGGAACACCAGUGGCGAAGGCGACUACCUGGACUGAUACUGACACUGAGGUGCGAAAGCGUGGGGAGCAAAC
rnacentral:rRNA from 1 species